GAUGAACGCUGGCGGCGUGCCUAAUACAUGCAAGUCGAGCGAACAGACGAGGAGCUUGCUCCUCUGACGUUAGCGGCGGACGGGUGAGUAACACGUGGAUAACCUACCUAUAAGACUGGGAUAACUUCGGGACACCGGAGCUAAUACCGGAUAAUAUCUUGAACCGCAUGGUUCAAUAGUGAAAGACGGUUUUGCUGUCACUUAUAGAUGGAUCCGCGCCGCAUUAGCUAGUUGGUAAGGUAACGGCUUACCAAGGCAACGAUGCGUAGCCGACCUGAGAGGGUGGUCGGCCACACUGGAACUGAGACACGGUCCAGACUCCUACGGGAGGCAGCAGUAGGGAAUCUUCCGCAAUGGGCGAGAGCCUGACGGAGCAACGCCGCGUGAGUGAUGAAGGUCUUCGGAUCGUAAAACUCUGUUAUUAGGGAAGAACAAAUGUGUAAGUAACUAUGCACGUCUUGACGGUACCUAAUCAGAAAGCCACGGCUAACUACGUG
rnacentral:rRNA from 1 species